rnacentral:tRNA from 1 species
UAGUAAAGGAGGAUGUUUGAUCCACAUUCUUAG